CCCUUAGAUGUUCUGGGCCGCACGCGCGCUACAAUGAUGAAUUCAGCGAGUUUAUAACCUUGGUUGAAAAGCCUGGGUAAUCUUUUGAACUUUCGUCGUGAUGGGGCUAGACCCUUGCAAUUAUUGGUCUCCAACGAGGAAUUCCUAGUAAACGCAAGUCAUCAGCUUGCAUUGAUUACGUCCCUGCCCUUUGUACACACCGCCCGUCGCACCUACCGAUUGAAUGGUCCGGUGAAAUCUUCGGAUUGAGACUUUGUUUUCUUCACGGAAAACGCUGUUUUAAAAAGUUGAUUAAACCUUACCAUUUAGAGGAAGGUGAAGUCGUAACA
rnacentral:rRNA from 1 species